rnacentral:rRNA from 1 species
GGUCAAGCGAACAAGUGCAUGUGGUGGAUGCCUUGGCGAUCACAGGCGAUGAAGGACGCGGUAGCCUGCGAAAAGCCCCGGGGAGCUGGCAAACAAGCUUUGAUCCGGGGAUGUCCGAAUGGGGAAACCCACUCCUUAUGGAGUAUCCAUAGCUGAAUACAUAGGCUAUGUGAAGCGAACGCGGUGAACUGAAACAUCUAAGUAACCGCAGGAAAAGAAAUCAACCGAGAUUCCCAAAGUAGUGGCGAGCGAAAUGGGAUGAGCCUUGUACUCUUUAUUUGUAUUGUUAGCCGAACGCUCUGGAAAGUGCGGCCAUAGCAGGUGAUAGCCCUGUAGGCGAAAACAGUAUGAAAGAACUAGGUGUACGACAAGUAGGGCGGGACACGUGAAAUCCUGUCUGAAGAUGGGGGGACCAUCCUCCAAGGCUAAAUACUCGUGAUCGACCGAUAGUGAACCAGUACCGUGAGGGAAAGGCGAAAAGAACCCCGGGAGGGGAGUGAAAUAGAUCCUGAAACCGCAUGCAUACAAACAGUCGGAGCCUCGUAAGGGGUGACGGCGUACCUUUUGUAUAAUGGGUCAGCGACUUACGUUCAGUAGCAAGCUUAACCGUAUAGGGCAGGCGUAGCGAAAGCGAGUCCGAAUAGGGCGUUCAGUUGCUGGGCGUAGACCCGAAACCAGGUGAUCUAUCCAUGGCCAGGAUGAAGGUGCGGUAACACGUACUGGAGGUCCGAACCCACUAACGUUGAAAAGUUAGGGGAUGAGCUGUGGAUAGGGGUGAAAGGCUAAACAAACCUGGAAAUAGCUGGUUCUCUCCGAAAACUAUUUAGGUAGUGCCUCGUGUCUCACCUUCGGGGGUAGAGCACUGUCAUGGUUGGGGGGUCUAUUGCAGAUUACCCCGCCAUAGCAAACUCCGAAUACCGAAGAGUGCAAUCACGGGAGACAGACAUCGGGUGCUAACGUCCGGUGUCAAGAGGGAAACAACCCAGACCGCCAGCUAAGGUCCCCAAAUAUGGCUAAGUGGGAAACGAAGUGGGAAGGCUAAAACAGUCAGGAGGUUGGCUUAGAAGCAGCCACCCUUUAAAGAAAGCGUAAUAGCUCACUGAUCGAGUCGUCCUGCGCGGAAGAUGUAACGGGGCUAAGCCAUAUACCGAAGCUGCGGAUGCGAGCUUGCUCGCAUGGUAGGAGAGCGUUCCGUAAGCCUGCGAAGGUGCCUUGUAAAGGGUGCUGGAGGUAUCGGAAGUGCGAAUGCUGACAUGAGUAGCGAUAAAGGGGGUGAAAGGCCCCCUCGCCGUAAGCCCAAGGUUUCCUACGCAACGUUCAUCGGCGUAGGGUGAGUCGGCCCCUAAGGCGAGGCAGAAAUGCGUAGCUGAUGGGAAGCAGGUCAAUAUUCCUGCACCAUUGUUAGAUGCGAUGGGGGGACGGAUCGCGGAAGGUUGUCCGGGUGUUGGACGUCCCGGUCGCUGCAUUGGAGAAGGCGCUUAGGCAAAUCCGGGCGCAGGAUUCAAGGGUGUGGCGCGAGCGACUUCGGUCGCGAAGCAAUUGGAAGUGGUUCCAAGAAAAGCCUCUAAGCUUCAGUCUAACGAUGACCGUACCGCAAACCGACACAGGUGGGCGAGAUGAGUAUUCUAAGGCGCUUGAGAGAACUCGGGAGAAGGAACUCGGCAAAUUGGUACCGUAACUUCGGGAUAAGGUACGCCCUUGUAGCUUGACUGGCCUGCGCCAGGAGGGUGAAGGGGUUGCAAUAAACUGGUGGCUGCGACUGUUUAAUAAAAACACAGCACUCUGCAAACACGAAAGUGGACGUAUAGGGUGUGACGCCUGCCCGGUGCCGGAAGAUUAAAUGAUGGGGUGCAAGCUCUUGAUUGAAGUCCCGGUAAACGGCGGCCGUAACUAUAACGGUCCUAAGGUAGCGAAAUUCCUUGUCGGGUAAGUUCCGACCUGCACGAAUGGCGUAACGAUGGCCACACUGUCUCCUCCCGAGACUCAGCGAAGUUGAAGUGUUUGUGAUGAUGCAAUCUACCCGCGGCUAGACGGAAAGACCCCAUGAACCUUUACUGUAGCUUUGCAUUGGACUUUGAACCGAUCUGUGUAGGAUAGGUGGGAGGCUAUGAAACCGGAACGCUAGUUUCGGUGGAGCCGUCCUUGAAAUACCACCCUGGUUUGUUUGAGGUUCUAACCUUGGUCCGUGAUCCGGAUCGGGGACAGUGCAUGGUAGGCAGUUUGACUGGGGCGGUCUCCUCCCAAAGGGUAACGGAGGAGUACGAAGGUACGCUAGGUACGGUCGGAAAUCGUGCUGAUAGUGCAAUGGCAUAAGCGUGCUUAACUGCGAGACCGACAAGUCGAGCAGGUGCGAAAGCAGGUCAUAGUGAUCCGGUGGUUCUGUAUGGAAGGGCCAUCGCUCAACGGAUAAAAGGUACUCUGGGGAUAACAGGCUGAUACCGCCCAAGAGUUCAUAUCGACGGCGGUGUUUGGCACCUCGAUGUCGGCUCAUCUCAUCCUGGGGCUGUAGCCGGUCCCAAGGGUAUGGCUGUUCGCCAUUUAAAGAGGUACGUGAGCUGGGUUUAAAACGUCGUGAGACAGUUUGGUCCCUAUCUGCCGUGGGCGUUGGAUAUUUGAAGGGGGCUGCUCCUAGUACGAGAGGACCGGAGUGGACGAACCUCUGGUGUACCGGUUGUGACGCCAGUCGCAUCGCCGGGUAGCUAUGUUCGGAAGAGAUAACCGCUGAAAGCAUCUAAGCGGGAAACUCGCCUUAAGAUGAGAUAUCCCUGGAGGCUUGACCUCCUUGAAGGGUCGUUCGAGACCAGGACGUUGAUAGGUCGGGUGUGUAAGCGCAGUAAUGCGUUCAGCUAACCGAUACUAAUUGCCCGUAAGGCUUGAUCCU